GAGGGUACAGCUCAAUGGUAGAGUGAGUGCUUAGCAUGCAACGAUGUCCUGGGUUCAAUCCCCAGUGUCUCCA
rnacentral:tRNA from 1 species